ensembl:snRNA U2 U2 spliceosomal RNA
AUCGCUUCUCGGCCUUUUGGCUAAGAUCAAGUGUAAGAUUCAGUUAAUCUACUUUUGCCAUGUUUUUUCAUGUCUAAGAUAGUGUUGUCUAACCCAAGAUAAAGCAACUUUAUUUAUUUUCUUCUAAGAUUUGUGUCGUAUGUAAA